rnacentral:lncRNA from 1 species
GGAAUAAUAUGAGGGCUGUAAAUAAAAGAAAGCAGGUUGUUGGAUGGAAAUAGCACAGAACGUUUCAUGCGCAGCAAUUUGUGAGUGAAAGUCGUUUCAAAGUAAAUCAUACGGCAUUAUUUCUUUGACUGAAAGCGUAUGAGCUUUAUGAUCAGAAACCAAGGUCAGAGAGCUGAUAGUAUUCUGCUGCUGUUUCAGGCAAAUGGCUCUGAAUGCAAAGCGUUUGUAUGACAGUCUGAGCCAAACUAGGCAGAUAUUAAAACCAAUGACUUCACUGGACUACACAAAUCAGAGAAGAGAUGUGUGUGUGUGUGUGUGUGUGUGCAUGUGUGUGUGUGUGUGUGUAGAGGUUAUAAGAUAAAGGGGGAACAGUACACAGAUCUGACCGGAUCUGACACACUACAUAGAGACAGAAGAGCGCCAUCAUGUGGACAACACAUGUGUAAACAGGAAACAGCAGCAGUUCUGUUUAUUAAUGUAACCUACGCACAAAACAACCUGACAGGAGAAUGUGCGCAGCUGAAGUCAUCCGGAUCCGCCUGACUUCUGCCUGCCCUUCAGACAGACACUCCUCGCUCCUCGCGGUUUUGUGUGAUCACCGGUAAAUCUUUAUUAAUUUUAAUUGGAGCCUCCAUUUAAAAGAGCAAUUAAAGCGGAUUAAUCGAGCCCAUCCCGUAUAAUGUCUUCUGUUAAUUAGUUUGUCAGCACUGUUUUAAUAUCGCCUAAUGACUUCAUAUUUCAGGCCUGACAUUAAAGAGAUGCUGCAAGAAAAGAAAUGGGCUUAUCUGGAUGCGGGGCUGUAAGGGGAGAUGAUGUCCUCCGGGCCCUGGACAAGGUCAGGGACCGCGAAGGGCCACAGGGACACGCUGGAGAGCACGGAGGUAACAGUCUGUCAUGGACGAGGAGCCAGCCGAGUGUGUAACGACACGGGAACGAGACGCUGGCCACACAUUCACAUCACGGCGGAGGGGGAAAUCUUCCUCUGGCCUGCUGGCGGUGUGUUUUACAACAUGUGUAAAGUCUUCACCAGCUUGCAAGACAGGAGAUGUUUCUUCAGGGAUCACGGAAAAGCUGGAAAACACACCAGUUCUAAAGGCAGAACGAAAAGACUGUUUGAUGAUGACGACAUUAAGGGAGAGUUCACCCUCAACUCAAAUUUCUAUAUUCUACAGUGUAAAAAUGAUUGACUUUACUUAAAA